rnacentral:rRNA from 1 species
UGUGUAGGCGGUUGCUUAAGUUUGGUGUGAAAUCUCCCGGCUCAACUGGGAGGGUGCGCCGAAUACUGAGUGACUCGAGUGCGGGAGAGGAAAGUGGAAUUCCUGGUGUAGCGGUGAAAUGCGUAGAUAUCAGGAGGAACACCGGUGGUGUAGACGGCUUUCUGGACCGUAACUGACGCUGAGACACGAAAGCGUGGGUAGCAAACAGGAUUAGAUACCCUGGUAGUCCACGCCCUAAACGAUGCACAUUUGGUGUGGGUCAUUCAGUUGAUCCGUGCCGGAGCUAACGCGUUAAAUGUGCCGCCUGGGGAGUACAGUCGCAAGGCUGAA